rnacentral:rRNA from 1 species
CCUACGGGUGGCAGCAGUGGGGGAUAUUGCACAAUGGGGGGAACCCUGAUGCAGCGACGCCGCGUGGGUGAAGGAGUAUUUCGGUAUGUAAAGCCCUAUCGGCAGGGAAGAAAUUGGACGGUACCUGACUAAGAAGCCCCGGCUAACUACGUGCCAACAGCCGCGGUAAUACGUAGGGGGCAAGCGUUAUCCGGAUUCACUGGGUGUAAAGGGAGCGUAGACGGCCAUGCAAGUCAGGGGUGAAAGCCCUGGGCCCAACCCCGGGACUGCCCUUGGAACUGCAUGGCUGGAGGGCGGGAGGGGCAGGAGGAAGUCCUGGUGUAGCGGGGAAAUGCGUAGAUAUCAGGAGGAACACCGGCGGCGAAGGCGGCCUGCUGGACCGCGACUGACGUUGAGGCUCGAAAGCGUGGGGAGCGAACAGGAUUAGAUACCCUAGUAGUC